rnacentral:rRNA from 1 species
UACGGAGGGAGCAAGCGUUGUCCGGAUUUACUGGGCGUAAAGAGCGCGCAGGCGGUCGUUCAAGUCGAGUGUGAAAGCCCCCGGCUCAACUGGGGAGGGUCACUCGAUACUGAUCGACUCGAAGGCAGGAGAGGGAAGUGGAAUUCCCGGUGUAGUGGUGAAAUGCGUAGAUAUCGGGAGGAACACCAGUGGCGAAGGCGACUUCCUGGCCUGUUCUUGACGCUGAGGCGCGAAAGCUAGGGGAGCAAACGGGAUUAGAAACC